rnacentral:misc_RNA from 1 species
GAUGAAGAACGUAGUGAAAUGCGAUAAGUAAUGUGAAUUGCAGAAUUCAGUGAAUCAUCGAAUCUUUGAACGCACAUUGCGCCCGCCAGUAUUCUGGCGGGCAUGCCUGUUCGAGCGUCAUUUCAACCAUCAAGCCCCAGGCUUGUGUUGGGGACCUGCGGCUGCCGCAGGCCCUGAAAACCAGUGGCGGGCUCGCUGUCACACCGGGCGUAGUAGAUUUUAUCUCGCUCUGGGCGUGCUGCGGGUUCCGGCCGUUAAAAUACCCUUUUAACCCAAGGUUGACCUCGGAUCAGGUAGGAAUACCCGCUGAACUUAAGCAUAUCAAUAAGCGGAGGA